GGGUCGGUCGCGUAGCUGGUUAUUGCAUCUGUCUAACAUAGUUAUGAUAAUGUUGUACCGUUUACAGAGAAGGUCCUCAGUUCGAACCUGGGCCGACUCA